GAUUAAGUAGUGAAGGGCGCAUGGCGGAUGCCUAGGUAGCAAGAGCCGAUGAAGGACGGAACAAACACCGAUAUGCUUCGGGGAGCUGUAAGUAAGCUUUGAACCGGAGAUUUCCGAAUGGGGAAACCCGG
rnacentral:rRNA from 1 species